UUUCAGCUUUAAGUCAAAGGGUGAAGAAAAAUAUAAUAAUAACCAUGAAGGAAUUUCAGCCAUUUUUUACACGCACGCACGCAAGCACACACGCAUCCCAGAGAUAUAAUAAAAGUAGCAUUUAGUGCUGCUCCUCCAGCCACCCCCUUUUUUAAUGGCAUGUCAACACAAAAUCAGUUCCAAGAAAACUGCAUAUGCACUAUAAAUAAUAAUAAUAAUAAUUUCUUUGUCCAUGUACUGGCCAGUACAAUACCACAUAAGCACAGUUGUAACUGAUUAUGCAUGUUGGGCAAUUUUGCCCGUUCCUCUUUGCACCACCUCUCAAGAUCCAUCAGGUUGGAUGGGGCUCAUCGGUGCACAGCAAUUUAAAUUUGCAAA